GACGAACGCUGGCGGCAUGCCUAAUACAUGCAAGUCGAGCGGACAGAAGGGAGCUUGCUCCCGGAAGUCAGCGGCGGACGGGUGAGUAACACGUGGGCAACCUGCCCCUUAGAUUGGGAUAACUUCGGGAAACCGAAGCUAAUACCGAAUAAUACAAGGAACCUCCUGGGUCUCUGUUGAAAGAUGGCCUUUGUGCUGUCACAAAGGGAUGGGCCCGCGGCGCAUUAGCUAGUUGGUAAGGUAACGGCUUACCAAGGCGACGAUGCGUAGCCGACCUGAGAGGGUGAUCGGCCACACUGGGACUGAGACACAGCCCAGACUCCUACGGGAGGCAGCAGUAGGGAAUCUUCCGCAAUGGACGAAAGUCUGACGGAGCAAUGCCGCGUGAGUGAGGAAGGCCUUCGGGUCGUAAAGCUCUGUUGUGAGGGAAGAACAAGUACCGGCGUAACUACCGGUACCGUGACGGUACCUCACCAGAAAGCCACGGCUAACUACGUGCCAGCCGCCGCGGUAA
rnacentral:rRNA from 1 species